GGUCUCACGCCCUGCAUACCCUGCAUGCCCAUUGACAUACUUUGCAUACCCUAUACACAGACACCACCAAUAACCACAUGACCCUCAGUUGUUCUCGUUGUUUCAUUCUAGCUCGUAUACGAGCUGUCAUAUAAUAUACAUUUUCUUUCUUUUUUGUUUAUUUUGAGAGAGCGACAACAGGUGAUUCAUUGACUUGUGCUCGGCGUUAUCGACUCCGCGUGUACUAUGUGCCGCUGAUGACUAGAUUUUAUUAUUAGGUGUAUCUACACAUACACGCGCAGUCGGCCAAGCGACGCACGAGUAAUAUUCCACAUCUUUAAUGUUGUCGCGCAGAAUUGACACUUUUUCAAUAACAUUUUAUGCUAAAUAUUCUCAUUCAUGAGUAAUCCGAUGUAAUAGUACAUUCUGCAACAAGGGACUAAAGUCAUUGACUUUAGCCCCGUGGUGCAUAUAAAACUUUAUUCACGACCUAGCUGUGUAGCCACUAUGUUUCCUUGAAUAGUAGGACUUCCGUCAAUACAAAUAAACGUUUCAAAAGUUUGAGAAGUUUCUAAAAUUAAAAUUUUUUUUAAUUUUCCAAAAAAAUUUUCUCCCGCAUUCGCGAGAAUAAAGUGACUUUAUUUUCUCAUUUGCGGGACAAAAAAUAUAUGAGGGAAUAAAAAGCUACUUUAGUCUCGCUUAUCAGGGAAUAAAGUGGCUAUUAUAUUUAAUCCGUGAAUAAAAAUAUAAAUAAAGUAAAUUAUCAUCGUUAAUGCGAUAAAGAUAGAUUUAUCAGAAGUCCAUUUAAAAAUAGGGUUUUGAUGUGCUGGCACGGUAAAUGAGGAAAAAAUUAUUCCCUUCAGACUGAACUAUCGCACUACAAUAAUGGCUCAAAAUUGAGUAACGCCAUUUUAAUUUAAAGUCGAUUCCGCUAAUUUGCAUACAAUGUGAAUGAUAAAAUCGUCGCCAGACAUUUGACGGCGAGCGUGAAGCGAAGAUAGCUUGAAAGAAUUGAAAACUUGCUUCGUAUUCAAUUGUGCGCUCAACUCUGUUAAUAUAAAGCUGCAACAGUCUUUUGAUAGUUGAGUGACUCGGCGUAGAUAGAUCAAAGGUAAAAAGGAAAAUGGAGCGUUGGGCGGGAAAAGUGGCUGUGAUAACAGGAGCAACGUCUGGAAUAUGUUUAGCGACUGCCCAAGCAUUUGUUCGCAAAGGGUUAAUCGUAGUUGGUCUCGCUUGGAGAAAAACAGCGAUGGAGGUAUGAAUAAUUUUAACAGUGACAUUUUUAUGUUACUGCAAUUCUAUGUAUAAACUUCUUAACAUUUAGAAUGGCAUGAAAGACAUCAAAGGACCAGGAAAAUUCCAUAUGAGGGAAUGUGAUAUAUCGUCCGACGAGAAUAUCGAAAUUUUUUUGAGUGGAUAAAAGAAACUUUCGGAACUAUUCACAUUUUGAUAAACAAUGCUGGACUAGUAAGACGAAGCUCCAUAGCUGGUAAUAAUUUCGAAAACUUUUAUUCUGUGAGAAUUUCCGGAGAUCACUCACUAUAUUCAGAUGAUUCGCUAAACGUAUUUCUACUUAUAGAUGCCAGUACAAAAGAUCUGCAAUUUUGUAUUAACGUCAACUUCGUGGGAGCCGUCAUUUGCGCCAAACAAGCUAUGUAGCUGAUGACAGAGAACGGAGAGGAGGGCUACAUCGUCAAUAUGAGCAGAUAAAUUAAUUUCGUUUUAAGGAAGCAGUGCGAAAUAAUGUAAUGUGUUCUCGCGUAAAUAGCACUGCAGGUAUAGAAACGAUAAAGGCACCAGACAAAAACUUUAACGUUUAUUCCCCGACGAAGUACGCUAUCAGAUCAUUGUCGGAAACUCUUGCUCACGAGCUGAAGGAUACUAAAAUUCGCGUUAGCAGCAUUAAUCCAGGAUUAGUGAAAACUGAAAUUUUCGCAGCGGCAAACUUGCAAACGGAUUUUCUUGACAUAGUUCCAUCGUUGACGUCAGACGAUAUCACCGAUGCAAUAAUGUACAUCGUUGGAUUGCCUUAUCACGUUCGAAUAUCUGAACUGACUAUCAAGCCAACUAAUGAUGUAUACGAUUAGUUCAUCGUAAUAUAAUGCUUACUAAUUAAGUCACACGUAUCGUAAUGUACUCUUAUUCCCGCAAAUCGGGGACAAAAAAUAUAUGGAAUAAAAAGCUACUUUAGUCCCACUUUUCAGAAAAUAAUGUAUUUAUUAUAGUUAAGCCGUGAAUAAAAUACUUUAUAUUGCUACGGGGAUUAGACUCGAGGAUACUGUCGGCUAUUUCCAAAGUGUCAAUAUUGCACUGGCUCCUGUUUUUUCGAAUUAUUGUCAGAUUGUAUCGUCAACCAACGUCUUAUAUAAGAAGUGCUGUAUUGAAAAGCAUCAACUAAUUUUCGUACUGUGUGCGAUUAUGCCUACGUAGAGAUUGCUGUAUAAAAUAAAUCUCACAUGCAUCAAUACUGCGCAAGCUUGAUUGGUGCAAUAAUAAAAAAUAUCAAGAUGUUUAAUAAACUAGCUACUUGUUAAUCUCAUUUGUUCAAAAAUUCAAAAGAUUCCCAGUUGACAAAUUAAAUAGAGUUUGCUUUAAAGUGUCAAGCGGGCGAUUAAAAAAUGAUUAAAAAACAGUGCAUUAAUAUUUGCUUAUGGUUACUUUGUUAGUGACAGAUUGGUUCACCGAACAACAGCUGCAAGUUCCAGUGUAGUUACGAGAGAUUAUGUUUUUGCUAGCACACAUAAGAGACCGAGCGGAUUAUCAAGAUCUUAGUAUAUAAACGGCAGAACUGAGGGUUUGGAAUAAUUUGCACAAAUAAAUAAAAAAUAAAAAAAAAACGGAGAACUCGUCGGUGCCUCGUAGAAAUUAAAA